CAGUAGCCACGGGAAUACGAGGGGGGCAAGCGUUGUUCGGAAUUAUUGGGCGUAAAGGGCGCGUAGGCGGUUUGGCAAGUUUGGUGUGAAAUCUUCGGGCUCAACUCGAAGUCUGCAUCGAAAACUGCCGGGCUUGAGUAUGGGAGAGGUGAGUGGAAUUUCCGGUGUAGCGGUGAAAUGCGUAGAUAUCGGAAGGAACACCUGUGGCGAAAGCGGCUCACUGGACCAUUACUGACGCUGAGGCGCGAAAGCUAGGGGAGCAAACAGGAUUAGAUACCCCAGUAGUCCCUGUCUCUUAUAC
rnacentral:rRNA from 1 species